GUCUACGGCCAUACCACCCUGAACGCGCCCGAUCUCAUCUGAUCUCGGAAGCUAAGCAGGGUCGGGCCUGGUUAGUACUUGGAUGGGAGAAAGUGGAUGUUAAGGAAA
rnacentral:rRNA from 1 species